rnacentral:rRNA from 1 species
UUUAAAUUGAGAGUUUGAUCCUGGCUCAGGAUGAACGCUGGCGGCGUGCUUAACACAUGCAAGUCGAGCGAUGAAGUUUCCUUCGGGAAACGGAUUAGCGGCGGACGGGUGAGUAACACGUGGGUAACCUGCCUCAUAGAGUGGAAUAGCCUUCCGAAAGGAAGAUUAAUACCGCAUAAUGUUGAAAGAUGGCAUCAUCAUUCAACCAAAGGAGCAAUCCGCUAUGAGAUGGACCCGCGGCGCAUUAGCUAGUUGGUGGGGUAACAGCCUACCAAGGCGACGAUGCGUAGCCGACCUGAGAGGGUGAUCGGCCACAUUGGGACUGAGACACGGCCCAGACUCCUACGGGAGGCAGCAGUGGGGAAUAUUGCACAAUGGGGGAAACCCUGAUGCAGCAACGCCGCGUGAGUGAUGAAGGUUUUCGGAUCGUAAAGCUCUGUCUUUGGGGAAGAUAAUGACGGUACCCAAGGAGGAAGCCACGGCUAACUACGUGCCAGCAGCCGCGGUAAUACGUAGGUGGCGAGCGUUAUCCGGAUUUACUGGGCGUAAAGGGAGCGUAGGCGGA